GAUGAACGCUGGCGGCGUGCCUAAUACAUGCAAGUCGAGCGAACAGACGAGGAGCUUGCUCCUCUGACGUUAGCGGCGGACGGGUGAGUAACACGUGGAUAACCUACCUAUAAGACUGGGAUAACUUCGGGAAACCGGAGCUAAUACCGGAUAAUAUAUUGAACCGCAUGGUUCAAUAGUGAAAGACGGUUUUGCUGUCACUUAUAGAUGGAUCCGCGCCGCAUUAGCUAGUUGGUAAGGUAACGGCUUACCAAGGCGACGAUGCGUAGCCGACCUGAGAGGGUGAUCGGCCACCCUGGAACUGAGACACGGUCCAGACUCCUACGGGAGGCAGCAGUAGGGAAUCUUCCGCAAUGGGCGAAAGCCUGACGGAGCAACGCCGCGUGAGUGAUGAAGGUCUUCGGAUCGUAAAACUCUGUUAUUAGGGAAGAACCAAUGUGUAAGUAACUAUGCACGGCUUGACGGUAACUAAUCAGAAAGCCACGGCUAACUACGUG
rnacentral:rRNA from 1 species